rnacentral:sRNA from 1 species
AUACCUGCAGCAUCACCUGCUUCAAUACCCGCAGCCAAAAUCUCAGCAGCA